rnacentral:sRNA from 1 species
UUGUUCCCGCUUCUCUUUGCUUCAGCGGGAGACGGAUCGGAUUCUGUCCUUGAAAGCCUUAGCUUCACUCUUUCCGACCAACUCUUCUUCCCUGCUUUUGGUCUCUGCAACGCUUUUUUCCUCCGUUCUUCUUCUUCUGCGCUGUU